rnacentral:rRNA from 1 species
AGUCACGAUAGGGGGGUGCCUUGGCUCUCAGAGGCGAAGAAGGACGUGUCAAGCUGCGAUAAGCCACGGGGAGCUGCCAGAGGGCUUUGAUCCGUGGGUUUCCGAAUGGGGCAACCCAUCCUGUUGAAGACGGGAUACCCGAGAAGGGGGCGAACGCGCUGAACUGAAACAUCUAAGUAGGCGCAGGAAAAGAGAACAAUAGUGAUUACGUGAGUAGUGGCGAGCGAAAGCGUAGGAGCCCAAACCGGCAUGUUUACGGAUGUGUCGGGGUUGUAGGACCUGCAUAAAGUGUUAACUGCGAACUGGAACCGGUUGGAAAGCCGGGCCAUAGGGGGUGAUAGUCCCGUACAGGCAGCGGGUUAACAUGGGCGGGGAUCCUGAGUACCGCGGGACCGGAGAAAUCCUGUGGGAAACUGCCAGCACCAUCUGGCAAGGCUAAAUACUCCUGAGAGACCGAUAGUGAACCAGUACCGUGAGGGAAAGGUGAAAAGUACUCCGAGAGGAGGGUGAAAUAGAACCUGAAACCAUACGCUUACAAGCGGUCAGAGUCCUUUAGUGGGAUGAUGGCGUGCCUUUUGCAUAAUGAGCCUACGAGUUGCUCUUCACUGGCGAGGUUAAGUCUGUUGACGGGCGAAGCCGAAGCGAAAGCGAGUCUGAAAAGGGCGUAUAGUCAGUGGAGGCAGACGCGAAACUUUGUGAUCUACCCUUGACCAGGCUGAAAGUUUGGUAACACAAACCGGAGGGCCGAACCGAUAAACGUUGAAAAGUUUCCGGAUGAGUUGAGGGUAGGGGUGAAAGGCCAAUCAAACUGAGAGAUAGCUCGUACUCCCCGAAAUGUUUUUAGGAACAGCCUGGAGAUUAAGUGUUACAGAGGUAGAGCUACCGAUAGGGCUAGGGGGCUUCACCGCCUACCAACCCCUGACGAACUCCGAAUGCUGCUAACAUAUGCUCUGGAGUGAGCCCUUGGGUGCUAAGGUCCGAGGGCGAGAGGGGAACAACCCAGACCAACGGCUAAGGUCCCUAAAUAACCGCUAAGUUGAACUAACGAGGUCCAAUUGCAUAGACAGCUAGGAUGUUUGCUUGGAAGCAGCAAUUCAUUUAAAGAGUGCGUAACAGCUCACUAGUCGAGCGAUAGGGCGUGGAUAAUAAACGGGCAUCAAGCGGUUUACCGAAGCUUUGGACUUUGCGCGAGCGAAGUGGUAGGGGAGCAUUCCGGCGACGAAGAAGGUGUGCUGCGAGGCAUGCUGGAGUUUCCGGAAAAGCAAAUGUAGGCAUGAGUAACGAUAAUUCUGGUGAGAAACCAGGACACCGAAAGACUAAGGUUUCCCUGGCCAUGCUAAUCAGCCGGGGGUUAGUCGGGUCCUAAGGCGUACCCGAAGGGGGAAGUCGAUGGACAACUGGUUAAUAUUCCAGUACUGCCGUUAACUGCGAAGGAAGGACGGAGGAGUGAAAGCACCGCGGCCUGACGAAAUAGGUCGUUGAAGGGGGGUAGUUAUACACCGGACAGGCAAAUCCGUUCGGAGUGAUGAGCCCCGAUAGUACCGCAAGGCUUCGGCUGCGUGGAUAGUGUGCCUAAACAGACUUCCAGGAAAAAUUUCUAAGCAUCAGGUUAAUGGCACCCGUACCGUAAACCGACACAGGUAGUCGAGGAGAGAAUCCUAAGGUGCUCGAGUGAUUCACGGCUAAGGAACUAGGCAAAAUGGCCCUGUAACUUCGGGAGAAGGGGCGCCCCUGUGAAAGGGGGCCGCAGUGAAGAGGCCCAGGCGACUGUUUAACAAAAACACAUGGCUAUGCUAAAUUGAAAGAUGAGGUAUAUGGCCUGACACCUGCCCGGUGCCGGAAGGUUAAGAGGGGAGCUUAGCGCAAGCGAAGGUUUGAAUCGAAGCCCCGGUAAACGGCGGCCGUAACUAUAACGGUCCUAAGGUAGCGAAAUUCCUUGUCGGGUAAGUUCCGACCUGCACGAAUGGUGUAACGAUCUGGGCGCUGUCUCGGCCGUGAGCUCGGUGAAAUUGAAGUCUCGGUGAAGAUGCCGAGUACCCGCAACGGGACGGAAAGACCCCGUGAACCUUCACUACAACUUUACAUUGAUUUUGGGUACGUCAUGUGUAGGAUAGGUGGGAGACUGCGAAGCUGUGUCGCUAGGCAUGGUGGAGUCAUUGUUGAAAUACCACCCUUGAUUUAUCUGGAGUCUAAUCCCACGCAUGUGGGAGACAGUGUAUGGUGGCCGCUAUCGUGACUGGGAAAC